UCUCAGGAUCGACAGUAACGGUAACAUGACAGCCGUGAAACUACUCUUCCCGGCAUCCUACAUCUAUCCAUUCGCGUGCUCUCUCCUUUCGAGACACGUGCCAGUGACAGGAAUAUCGAAAUGGAUUUUCUUAGUCUCAUAUUGGACCUGGACCUCGUCGCGUGUGGAGUCGUCUUAAAGACGCGCAUCUAUUUGUAUCACCGUAUCUAAAUUGUUUUGUCAAAAUUGGUAAAAGAUUGAGAGACGAUGAGAUGGCAGUUUCGUCGACUACGAAUAGAGGAAAGAGAAAAUUUAAAAAGGUGCGACGUGGACAAUGGGAGGUAACGGUUGCGAGGGAGCAAUUCCAACUUGAAAAUCGUUCCCUGUCACGCUCGCCGAAUAUUAGUCUAUAUAAAAACCAACUGUUGCUCUUUGCGGUGGCACGAACAGAUUCAGAUCGAUGCAAUGGAUGUUCAACCAACCCCCCGGCCUCCCCCCGGCCGCGCCGUCUGACCUCACGCAAUCGUUCGUCCCUUCGACUGCUGCGAGGGAUUUUGCAAACGAGAAUCGAUGUCCUGUGGGAACGCGGCGCGGCGCGCUUCGAACGAGCGAACCAGGACCGCAACAACGUCACGUUCGAGUAUUCCGCCGAUUGAUUGCGCAUAAUUAUUGCAAUCGACGGCAAACUGUCCUGUUCUGUUGAAUUGUUUAUAAUUGCGGUAUCAUUUCAUUGAUACGUAUGCAAGCAAUUUUGUUUCUCUUAAUUUGGCAACCCAGAUACGUUCGUAACAUGAAUUGGUUGGCUUCAUUUAUAUUUUGGAACGUCACGAAUCUCAUACAGUGCUCUUCAUUUGAAUAGCCUAGGACCUACGCUAAAGGUUGAUACAUGCUUAUGUCAAAGAAAUAAAUUUUGUUAAAAAGUCUUGUCUACUAGUUAGAUUCAGUUAUAUCAUAUGUUAGUAAAUAACAUUAUAUUAAUGUACGCACAUGGGAAAUACAUUGUUGGUGGAAAUAUAAUAGGUCUCAGAUUCCCACAAGAA